rnacentral:tRNA from 1 species
GGGAAGGUAACUCAGUGGUAGAGUGCUUGCCUUGCAUGCAUGAGGCCCUGUGUUCGAUUCUCAGCACCA